GUAGGGAAUCUUCGGCAAUGGACGAAAGUCUGACCGAGCAACGCCGCGUGAGUGAAGAAGGUUUUCGGAUCGUAAAACUCUGUUGUUAGAGAAGAACAAGGGUGAGAGUAACUGUUCACCCCUUGACGGUAUCUAACCAGAAGCCACGGCUAACUACGUGCCAG
rnacentral:rRNA from 1 species